GUCUGCUCCAAAAAUGGAGAAUAUCCAAAUAUUAUUGCUCAUGUGCAAAUACAUGAAAGAGCAGCUGUUCGCCAUGGAGGUUAUAAAAUGUUUAGGUGCCUGCGUGGCUGUGUGAAAACCCCACACCAUCACUGCUGUUAUUGUGGCCGCACAGUCACCAGACAGGACCUGUUCAUAAGCCACCUGAACACCUGCAGCCAUGUGUCUACCUUAGCAGCCAGCGUCUCUACAGCCACUGGUGCCUCGACAGCCUCCUCUGCCCCUCAUUCUGCC